rnacentral:lncRNA from 1 species
UAGGAUUAAGCAUACUACAGAGAGACAUAGCAAACCAUAUGCGAAUACAUGAUUUAUGGCGUUUCACAGAAGUAGUAUGAUUCAUUCAUUGAGAUAUUACCACUGUACAUAGAACCAAAAUCAUGAGUAUUCUGCCCUUAACAACUAGAUAUUGAAGUAGAAGAAGAAUGAAAAUAGAGAACUUAGCUUAAGAAAUAGGGCCGACUGCCCUGCUCUGAAUCGGGAUUGAACGGCGCCGAGGAGUAGGCGAGGCGACACCCUUCGCCGGGAACAGCGACAGCAACGGCGAAGCCGGCCUUCCAGUAGCAGCAGCGGCAUCGGGGCUCGGCGGAAAUCAGGUGACAGCAGCGGCCAUUCGCGAGCUUCCCAGAGACAACAACAGCAGGCGGCGUACCUCCUCUUCCAGAACCCAGCAGCGGCAGAGCACGGCUCGAACCCACCAACUUCGGAGAUAGCAACACGGCGGACCCUGCUCGCCGGAAUCGCACAGCAGCAGCGGUGGUACUCGCCGGUUCCGCGGAGGUGGCAGAUCGAAGCGGCGGCGGCGCUCUCUGAUUUGGGGAGGAAUUAGGGCUCGCCCUUCUCGCCUUGGACGAACUGUCAGCAAGAGGGGUUUUAGAGAAAGGAGGCGGCGCGGNUUCACAGAAGUAGUAUGAUUCAUUCAUUGAGAUAUUACCACUGUACAUAGAACCAAAAUCAUGAGUAUUCUGCCCUUUAACAACUAGAUAUUGAAGUAGAAGAAGAAAUGAAAAUAGAGAACUUAGCUUAAGAAAUAGGGCCGACCUGCCCUGCUCUGAAUCGGGAUUGAACGGCGCCGAGGAGUAGGCGAGGCGACUGCCUUGUCGGAAUCUGAGUUACAGUAACGGCGAAGCCGGCCUUCCAGUAGCAGCAGCGGCAUCGGGGCUCGGCGGAAAUCAGGUGACAGCAGCGGCCAUUCGCGAGCUUCCCAGAG